rnacentral:rRNA from 1 species
UACGUAGGGUGCGAGCGUUAAUCGGAAUUACUGGGCGUAAAGCGUGCGCAGGCGGCAUGCCAAGCGUGUGGUGAAAGCCCGGGGCUCAACCCCGGGUCGGCCGUGCGGACUGGCGUGCUCGAGCACUGUAGGGGCGGGUGGAUUCCGGGUGUAGCGGUGGAAUGCGUAGAGAGUCCGGAAGAACACCGGUGGCGAAAGGCGGCCCGCUGGGCAGGAAGGCUCGCAAGAGCCGGCGUGACGCUGAGGC